AUUGGUUACGCAUCUUCAUACUCGUUACACCGAAAGAAAAAUUUUAAAAAUCAUUUCAGAAAAUAAAAUCACAACUUUUCUUGAUGAGAGGAGCGACUGACCUGCUGGUCUUACAGUGGGGACCACCUCAGCUCCUACGACACCAGCAGCUGACCAGCGGCAGACGAGUCAUGGGCGCGAGGUGGGCGGCAUGGGUGGCGCUGGCUGGGAUCGGUUGGAUGUGCGUGGGACUGGCUGCUACCCCUGAUGCAAGAUGGCGCCACGGAACACUUGCCCCAACGUCAACACAACAUUCGUCUGCGUUUGCAUCCACUGCCCUCUAUACACAGGCCCCGCAUCCCGUCCCACUCCCGGCACAGGGCACGUGGCGGAGCAGCGCCGUGACGCGACAGGAACUCUGGACGCCUGCUGGCAUGGAGGCGAUCCUUCAGCGAGCCAAGCGGUCGUCAUGGACACUGAGGUCUGCAGGUCAUGCAAGAUUUGUCAGGGAGCUGCAGCAACAAGAGGCUUUGAUCCACACUGUUCUGAAGCCCACACGAGUGACUGGGAGUGGCGGGCAACAACUGCAGCAUCUACAGCAGCAGGCAGGAAAGAGGGUGAUGUUUGUGAAGCCACUGGAUGAAGCGGACGAGCACAGGGAGGCUACGCAUUCUCUGAGCGGGAUGCUGAUGGCACUAGUGAGGCAGGAGCUGCGGGAGUGUGAGCUGGUGAUAGCUUACGACAGAGGCUUUAGUAAUCCGGCCAUCCUGCGUGACGUGCUGUUGCUGGACAACGUGCGCCAGGUGCUGGAGGUGAGGGAGGCGGAGGACCUGCUGAGGGCGGUGUGGGCGUCGCCGGACUGCCGAGGGUACUUGCUGCUGCUUCACGACCCACUGCCGCUGCUGACCUUUGCCGACAUGCACCGCGACGCCUGGGACUACGACGGCAAGUACGUGGUAGUCGGGGGAUCGCUGCCUCACCUCCUGCAACUCACCCGGACGGACAAAGGCAGGAAGACGCAGCACGUGGUGGGCGCCUUGCAGACUGAGGAGGCGGGGGAGUGGCGGCUGUACGUGAACCAGCAGUACUGGGCCAAGGGGAUGCUGCCCGUCACGACCUGGCGACGGCACUCCUUCACCUCAGACGUCGACCUGUUCCCCGACAAACUGUCUGACCUGCGCGGCGCCUUGCUCAGGGUGGUGACGUUCGUGUGGGAACCGAGCAUCAUGUACCGGCGCGCGGAGGACGGAUCCCUCCUGGAGCGUUACGGCGUGGACAUAGACGCCAUUGCUCUGCUUGCUCACGCCAUGAACUUCACGGUGCGCUUCGACGAACCGCCGCCAGGGGAGCUGUGGGGGCGGCAGCUGGAUGACGGCUCCUGGGACGGCAUCAUGGGCUUCCUGGACCGGGACGAGGCAGACAUCGGCGUGGCCAACAUGUUCCUGUCCUACUGGCGCAUACAGGUGGUGGAGUUCACGGCGCCUUAUGACCUGGAGGCGUCGUGCUUCCUCGCCCGCGCAGAGCCGCCCCUCCCGCGCUGGCAGGCCCUGGCUUUCCCCUUCCAGUGGGACACGUGGGUCGCCAUACUCCUGGGUUUGGUGAUGUCCGGCCCUCUGCUUCACCUCCUCGCCGCCCUGGGGAGCUCAUGGGGUGAAUGGCGGAGUGCGGGCGAAACGGCCCGGCUGGCUCCCAGCUGGCUGUAUACCCUCGGUUUGCACCUGCGCGAGGCACAGGCGCGCCUCCCUCGGCAGCCCGGCACGCAGGUUCUGGUGGCGUUCCUGUGGGUGUACACAAUGAUCCUCACCAUCGCCUACAGCACCAACCUGACGGCCUUCCUGCUGGUGAAGAAACUACCUGCCUCCAUCGAGACCCUGGAGCAGCUGUCACAGUCCAGCUUGAAAGUGGCGGGGGUCGGGGAGCUAUUCAUGACAGAGCUGCAGGAGGCCAGCGACCCCAAUGUGAAGCUUACCGACUGAUGAGUGUAACAAUUGUGGCUGCUCUCAUCCCCUCAUGUGUUUUGAUGAUUUGUACCUGCCCUUAUAGCUGAAGGUAAGGGACAUGGACCCAAUAUUUCCCCAGAAGGUGAGAGACUAGAACCCUAUUUAUCAUCGGAAGGUAAGGAACAUGGACUCUAUUUUCACCUUAACUGAAGGAAAAGGACAUGGUGCAGAGAGGGAAACAGCCCUUUGUUAAUUCCUUUGAUAGUGUGUGCAUGACUACUUGGAAAUUAGAACUCAAAUUAGUUGAUUAGGAAGCAGUAAUAUGUUAAGAUAGUAUGAACUUUCUAUAUUGCAUUGUACAGGUUUGCCAGAUAAUAUAAUUUGAAGCAAACUUAAUGUUGACAGUAUACCUUCAAGUACAAGUAGAGCCUUGAACAAAAGCAAUCUCCUUCCCGUCUAGUACAUUGUUAUUCUUUUUUUCAAUAGAUUCCAAAUAUGAUAAUCAGUGUACAAAUUUGUGACACUUACCAGCAAGCUACAAGAUGACAAGUCAUACAUAUGUAUACCAACAAGAGUGAUCUACAAUUAUGUCUAACUAAAGUUAGUUUUCCAGUUGAGGACUGAGCAUCACCACCACCACUUAGUAGCAGCAACACCACCCAAAAGAGAAGUUUUCAUCCGAUCCUUACCUCUGAGAAGUUGACAACUAACAUACAGUCCCCUCUGCCCUCCUCAGCCCCUCUGUCUAAGGCCAAUCACAAGAUUGAGUUGCACACAGAUAUAAUGUGACUGGUGAAGUGAAUGAAAAUCUUAGUGGGUGAAACUGGAAGAACUCUCUGUGACACAGGUGGCUGCCUUCCCUUGCUACUCUGUUUGAGAGACUGCCAUUCCCAGUCCUAAUACUGAGGAACAAGAACAUCAAUGGUGGCUCAAGCUGCUCCAGACGCCUGCCGUGCUGAUUUCAUUGGAGCUUAACACGUGCUGCUGGAACUCCUGCCACCCAAGCCUGCAGCAUUUCUUCCAACAACACCAUGAAAAAAAUGCUGACCAAAAGAUGACACAGCUUGAAGAGACAUCUCAGACAUCAUAAAAAAGCAGUUGGUGGCCUUCCUUCCUUCUUGCCUUGCUGCUGCUUGGAUGUUGCUGUUCAUCUUGAGUUAUUCACAGCAUUUCUUCUUGUAUGUUUUACUUCACCAUAAAUUAUUACAGCACAUAAAUUAAAGCCAAUACUUGUAUCUAUCUGCAGUAUAUACCUGGGUGGCAAUCGCAAACGGGUUGGCCCUGACAAGGCACCACACACAAAUUAUAAUUUAUAUGCAAGGUCUUAUUAGUUCCUGUAACAGUUCUAGCAAGUAUAGGUAGGCAUUGAUUCUAUUUUAAAUGUACAUAGAAUUUGUCAAGUAAUUUUUAAAACAAUGAAUGAAAAAUUUAAAAAUGAAUUAAAAUUAAUUUAAA